CGGGACGGGGUGGAGUAACGUAGUGGGCGAACCUACGCCCUGCACUGGGGAAUAAUCAUUGGAAACGAUGACUAAUACCGCAUACGGUUCCUGGGAGGCAUCUUCCGGGAAAGAAAGGAUUUAUUCGGUGCAGGAUGGGCCCGCAUCUGAUUAGCUAGUUGGUGAGAUAACAGCCCACCAAGGCGACGAUCAGUAGCCGACCUGAGAGGGUGACCGGCCACAUUGGGACUGAGACACGGCCCAAACUCCUACGGAAGGCAGCAG
rnacentral:rRNA from 1 species